GAUGAAGAACGUAGCGAAAUGCGAUAAGUAAUGUGAAUUGCAGAAUUCAGUGAAUCAUCGAAUCUUUGAACGCACCUUGCGCCCUUUGGCUAUUCCAAAGGGCAUGCCUGUUUGAGUAUCAUGAACACCUCAACUCUCAUGGUCUGCCAUGAUGAGCUUGGACUUUGGAGGUCUGCUGGCCUGUGGUCAGCUCCUCUCAAAUGAAUCAGCUUUCCGGUGUUUGGUGGCAUCAUGGGUGUGAUAAAUAUCUACGCUUGUGGUUUUCCACCAGGUAACCUUCAGUGAUGGGGGUUCGCUGGGGCUCAUAAAUGUCUCUCCUCAGCGAAGACAGCUUUGUGAAUGUUUGAUCUCAAAUCAGGUAGGACUACCCGCUGAACUUAAGCAUAUCAAUAAGCGGAGG
rnacentral:misc_RNA from 1 species